rnacentral:RNase_P_RNA from 2 species
AAAGUUAGUCGGACAGUCGCGCUUUACUAUUAGAAAACAUUUUGAUUAUAAUAAGCUGUAGUUUUUUUGUAGUUUGUUUAUUGUGUUUUAUUUAUAGUAGGUGAGGAAAGUCCGGGCUUUAUAGAGCAAGAUGCCAGAUAACGUCUGGGAGGCGUGAGCCUACGGAAAGUGCAACAGAAAAUAUACCGCCUUGUAAAAGGUAAGGGUGAAAAGGUGUGGUAAGAGCACACCGCAUUGGUGGUAACAUUCAAUGGCAUUGCAAACCCCAUCUAAAGCAAGACCAAAUAGUGCUACUAUAAUGUUGCUCGCAUUGUAGCAGGGUAGGUCGCUUGAGCUUGUUGGUGACAGCAAGCCUAGAUAAAUGGCUGUUUACUACAGAACCCGGCUUAUAGAUUAACUUUGUAC